rnacentral:rRNA from 1 species
UACGAAGGGGGCUAGCGUUGCUCGGAAUCACUGGGCGUAAAGGGCGCGUAGGCGGCCUGCUAAGUCGAACGUGAAAUCCCUGGGCUCAACCCAGGAACUGCGUCCGAUACUGGUUGGCUUGAAUCCGGGAGAGGGACGUGGAAUUCCAGGUGUAGCGGUGAAAAUGCGUAGAUAUCUGGAGGAACACCGGUGGCGAAGGCGACGUCCUGGACCGGCAUUGACGC